rnacentral:rRNA from 1 species
GUGCCAGCAGCCGCGGUAAUACCGGCAGCACGAGUGAUGGCCGAUAUUAUUGGGCCUAAAGCGUCCGUAGCUGGCCGAACAAGUCUGUCGGGAAAUCCAGUGGCUCAACCACUGGGCUGCCGGCGGAAACUGCUCGGCUUGGGACCGGAGGACCCGAGGGGUACGUCCGGGGUAGGAGUGAAAUCCCGUAAUCCCGGACGGACCGCCGGUGGCGAAAGCGCCUCGGGAGGACGGAUCCGACGGUGAGGGACGAAAGCUAGGGUCUCGAACCGGAUUAGAUACCCUGGUAGUCC